CGAGAAGAUUCAUGCUGGGCAGUGCUUAACAGGUACAGAUGCGUGCUUUAUGUGUAAGAAGUCAGGACACUUCGCGAGGGAAUGCCCACCGCUCAGGGAGCCAACCAAAGGGAGAGUAUUUGCGAUGACUCAAGAGCGGUGGAUCCGGACACGGCUAUUAUCACAGGUGAGGACGUGUCUCCGGACACGGCGGAGGGCCUACGGACGGAGUAGGCGAGGAGGCGAGAUGGACGCAUGGCGUUGUCCGGAUAUUAGGAGUGCUGAGUUUAGGUGCUUCACGGGAAGGGUCCUUGCUUCGGAGAGGUCAAGGGUUUUUGAACGGAAUUUUAUUUGUCAUACCUUGUGAGAGAUGUUGAUUUUUACUUUCGAUAAAACAGAAUGUUUGAUUUGGUAUCGUG